rnacentral:lncRNA from 1 species
AUAUUUUAUAAUUAGAAAAAGAAUUAACAAAAAACUCCUACUGUAAAUACCCAGGAAGGGCACAGGGGUGCUUGACUGUGGGGAGAGGCGAGGGAGGGAGGAGUCUGGGCCUUGCUCUGGCGCGGGAACAGAAAGUGUCAGCCUGAUGGGGAACACACCAGGCCUGGCUGCGCGCUGAGAGCAGUCAAGAUUACUAAUGGCAGGACAGAAAGUAACAGCAACAAAAGGAGAUCCAGGGCCGGGCCGGAGCUGGGAAGACAGCGCUAAUGAGAACACUGAGAUGCAUUCCAGGCGAAAGGGUAACCCAAAAAUGAGCUGGAAUUCUGGACGAGAUCACCUGAUGCCUGAGUUUCUGGGGCUGCUUCCCCCUCUCCAGGUGAAUCUAGAAAUGGAAUUGCCUAAGGAUUUGGCAGAAGGUGAAAAAGAAGAGCUAAAGAGGAGCAUAGAAGGAGACACUUGGCCUUUGUGUCCAGAGGUAAUCUUGUUCGUUUUUUCCAAGGUCUGCAAUUGUGCCAUUGGUGCCAACCACUGUCUGCUGCACACAGUGGGACUCCUCCAGGCCCCCCACCUGUGGCCUUUCUGGGAGACUCCCAAGGGCUGCAAUGGGGCCUAUGGCCAUAAAGUUGGCUCUCGAGAGCCGUAA